UGUGGGAGCGGGCUUGCUCGCGAUGCAGACAACUCGGUCUUUCAGUCAAGCCGGGUAACUGCAAUCGCGAGCAAGCCCGCUCCCACA
rnacentral:misc_RNA from 1 species